UACGGGGGGGGCAAGCGUUGUUCGGAAUUACUGGGCGUAAAGGGCUCGUAGGCGGCCAACUAAGUCUGCCGUGAAAUCCCUCGGCUUAACCGGGGAACUGCGUCCGAUACUGGAUGGCUUGAGUGUGGGAGAGGGAUGCGGAAUUCCAGGUGUAGCGGUGAAAUGCGUAGAUAUCUGGAGGAACACCGGUGGCGAAGGCGGCAUCCUGGACCACGACUGACGCUGAGGAGCGAAAGCCAGGGGAGCAAACGGG
rnacentral:rRNA from 1 species